GUAAUUAUUGCAGAAAAAAAAAAAAAAUAAAAAAAAUAAAAACUUAUUUGAUCAUGACAGAAAAAAUACGAUUCCUGUCAAAGUACAUAUGGGAGCUGUAAAAUUUUAGGAUGGAAUAGGCGAUAAAUGAGAUAUCGAAUGACUGAUAGUUCGAUAACUUAUUUUAGUUUUGCGUAUUUAAAAACAACACAAUCAAAUGACAACGGGAG
rnacentral:lncRNA from 1 species